CGUUGAAACACCGGUUUUCGUACGAUCACCGAAGUUAAGCAACUUCGAGUUUGGUCAGUACUUAGAUGGGUGACAGUCUACGAAUACCAGGUGAU
rnacentral:rRNA from 1 species